rnacentral:rRNA from 1 species
ACGUAGGGUCCGAGCGUUGUCCGGAAUUAUUGGGCGUAAAGGGCUCGUAGGCGGUUUGUCGCGUCGGGAGUGAAAACUCAGGGCUCAACCCUGAGCGUGCUUACGAUACGGGCAAACUAGAGGUAUGCAGGGGAGAACGGAAUUCCUGGUGUAGCGGUGGAAUGCGCAGAUAUCAGGAGGAACACCGGUGGCGAAGGCGGUUCUCUGGGCAUUACCUGACGCUGAGGAGCGAAAGCAUGGGGAGCGAACAGGA